rnacentral:rRNA from 1 species
CCUACGGGUGGCUGCAGUGAGGAAUAUUGGUCAAUGGACGCAAGUCUGAACCAGCCAAGUAGCGUGCAGGAUGACGGCCCUCCGGGUUGUAAACUGCUUUUAUUUGGGAAUAAAAGCGGGCUCGUGAGCCUCGUAUUGUAUGUACCAUCAGAAAUAGGACCGGCUAAUUCCGUGCCAGCAGCCGCGGUAAUACGUAGGGUCCGGGCUUUAUCCGGAUUUUUUGUGUUUAAAGGGUGCGCAGGCGGAAGAUGAAGUCAGCGGUAAAAUUGAGAGGCUCAACCUCGUCGAGCCGUUGAAACUGGUUUUCUUGAGUGAGCGAGAGGGAUGCGGAAUGCGUGGUGUAGCGGUGAAAUGCAUAGAUAUCACGCAGAACUCCGAUUGCGAAGGCAGCAUACCGGCGCUCAACUGACGCGCAUGCACGAAAGUGUGGGUAUCGAACAGGAUUAGAUACCCUUGUAGUC